GGCUAAAAUCUAAAUAAGAUGGAUGAGAAACUAAACUAUCAUUGACAAAGACAGUUUUACUCAUAAACAUUACAAAUUCGUAUAGUUAUUGUUGAUUCUCCAAUAGUGGUAUAUCGGUGUCAUAUAGAUUUCGGAUGUAAGGAGAUCCUUCAAGGUUGACUGAAGCCUCAUCUGAUUGUUGGAUCUUGAUUCAGCUCAACCCUUAAUAUCACAACUUGAGAUUCUUGGUUCAAAACUUAUGGGCCUGGAUAAUUAAACUAUGGGUGGGUAAUCUCCAACCC
rnacentral:lncRNA from 1 species